AGCUCAGUAGCUUAGUUGUUAAAGCAAUCAUCUGGCAUACAAAAGGAGUGGGUUCUAAUCCUACCUGAGCCC
rnacentral:tRNA from 1 species